rnacentral:rRNA from 1 species
CCUACGGGAGGCAGCAGUGGGGAAUAUUGGGCAAUGGGCGCAAGCCUGACCCAGCAACGCCGCGUGAAGGAAGAAGGCCCUCGGGUUGUAAACUUCUUUUAUCAAGGACGAAACAAAUGAUGGUACUUGAUGAAUAAGCCACGGCUAACUACGUGCCAGCAGCCGCGGUAAUACGUAGGUGGCAAGCGUUAUCCGGAUUUACUGGGUGUAAAGGGCGUGUAGGCGGGACUGCAAGUCAGAUGUGAAAACCAUGGGCUCAACCCAUGGCCUGCAUUUGAAACUGGAGUUCUUGAGUGGUCGAGAGGCAGGCGGAAUUCGGGGUGUAGCGGUGAAAUGCGUAGAUAUAACGAAGAACUCCGAUGGCGAAGGCAGCCUGCUGGACAAUAACUGACGCUGAGGCGCGAAAGCGUGGGUAGCAAACAGGAUUAGAUACCCCUGUAGUC